GUACGGGGGGGGCAAGCGUUGUUCGGAAUUACUGGGCGUAAAGGGCUCGUAGGCGGCCAUCUAAGUCAGACGUGAAAUCCCUCGGCUCAACCGAGGAACUGCGUCUGAUACUGGAAGGCUUGAAUCCGGGAGAGGGAUGUGGAAUUCCAGGUGUAGCGGUGAAAUGCGUAGAUAUCUGGAGGAACACCGGGUGGCGAAGGCGGCAUCCUGGACCGGUAUGACGCGUGAGG
rnacentral:rRNA from 1 species